rnacentral:lncRNA from 11 species
GUUUUGUAGCGUUGCCAGGGAUGCAGGCAGAAGAGGAAGAGAGGCAAAAGUGGGAUUCGUUUUUGCCUUUAUCAUCAUCAUUGACGCUCCUGAUGGACUCUGUGAAGAAUGAGAUAUGUACUCAAGAAGAUACUGAUUACUUGCAGAGAACUAUUGAACAUAAUAUGAGGAUUGCCUGGAAUUAGGUAACAGUUACAGAUGGUCCAUCAUAAUGUUGAAGCUGAAAAGCAUAGAAGAUAAAAACCUUGCAAUAGACCUCCUCCUCAACAGUAUAAUCACCUUCUGCAGAACAUAAAUCCUUCAGUACUGGCUGAAAUAUGAAGCCCCAAAGGAUACCAAAGCUGAGAGUUGAUUUUUGGGAAAUGUUGAAGUGCUUCUGUUUGAUGUUUGAAGCAAUGAAGAAUAUAAUUUGAAAUUAAUAGGACAUACAUUAAAGCACUAAUGUUUGGAUAGAUUCUAAUUUUGUUUGUGAUUUGAAUCCAUUGUUUUCUGUUCCGGGGGAGCAGCCAAACCAGCUCAUGUCAUCUUCUAUAGGGCAUCCUGUCAAAUAUCAUGUACCAUUUUUAAGGAGGCUACACAAAAGGCAUUGAGAUUUUUAAAAACGUGACCCUAACCUAAGAACCAAAGUCUUAUGACAAAUAUGUGUUUGUUUAUGUCAGAAUCUGGGAGUGCACAUUUGAUAAUGCUUUGGAAUUUAAAAAAUUCUUUUCAAGUGUUUUUGUAAUCUUCAAAUAUGUAAUAAUUGUUUCCAAGAAAGGAGUGACUGCAGUAUUAUCUGGAAACAAUACAGCACACUUUGUUAUUCCAAUUGAAAGAAAUUUAGUCAAACAAGCAAUUUAUGAAAUAGUCAAAGAAAAGUGACAUUUUUUCCAUUAAACACAAAUACACCUACUACCUGAGUACUUAUUUAAUCAUUCAACCAGAACAGAAUUUGUUUUUGCAAAGUGAAUAAAAAUGAAAAUCUCUC